GACGAACGCUGGCGGCGUGCUUAACACAUGCAAGUCGAACGGAAAGGCCCUGCUUUUGUGGGGCGCUCGAGUGGCGAACGGGUGAGUAACACGUGAGUAACCUGCCCUUGACUUUGGGAUAACUUCAGGAAACUGGGGCUAAUACCGGAUAGGAGCUCCUGCUGCAUGGUGGGGGUUGGAAAGUUUCGGCGGUUGGGGAUGGACUCGCGGCUUAUCAGCUUGUUGGUGGGGUAGUGGCUUACCAAGGCUUUGACGGGUAGCCGGCCUGAGAGGGUGACCGGCCACAUUGGGACUGAGAUACGGCCCAGACUCCUACGGGAGGCAGCAGUGGGGAAUAUUGCACAACGGGCGGAAGCCUGAUGCAGCAACGCCGCGUGCGGGAUGACGGCCUUCGGGUUGUAAACCGCUUUCGCCUGUGACGAAGCGUGAGUGACGGUAAUGGGUAAAGAAGCACCGGCUAACUACGUG
rnacentral:rRNA from 1 species